rnacentral:lncRNA from 1 species
CCUUGUAUGUUGCCGAGGUUCCUGGGUACUUCCUUUUUCCAGUCGUUUGUGAGAGGCUUCCAAUUCCAUAAGGAAUGCCUCUUUCAUUUGUGAAAGUCGCCUGCAAAACAGUAUUAGAAUAACAGAACUGUCAAAAUCCAAAGAAUAAAAGCAUAUCAUAAAAGACAAUGUAAAAAAAGUAUUUACCUGAAGAAAGAGUUCAUUUUCCUCUUCUACGGACAGCACCACAGGCGGUGAUGUACCAUCUGAAGUCUCGGAAUCUACCCCAAGAUCAGCCAUCUUUUCUUCCAGUUUCUUCUUAUACGCUUCAGCCAGCGUCUUGGACUUUCGGUCUACAAAAGUGCCAUCCG